rnacentral:rRNA from 1 species
UACGAAGGGGGCUAGCGUUGCUCGGAAUCACUGGGCGUAAAGCGCACGUAGGCGGCUUUCUAAGUCAGGGGUGAAAUCCUGGAGCUCAACUCCAGAGCUGCCUUUGAUACUGGAGAGCUUGAGUCCGGAAGAGGUGAGUGGAACUCCGAGUGUAGAGGUGAAAUUCGUAGAUAUUCGGAAGAACACCAGUGGCGAAGGCGGCUCACUGGUCCGGUACUGACGCUGAUGUGCGAAAGCGUGGGGAGCAAACAGG